rnacentral:lncRNA from 1 species
GGAGAGACGCCCUUCCACCUCUGGGAGCCUCGGUCUGUUGGGGUCGCGGAGUUCGGGCGCGGCUCCGGGUACCCGAGACCAGCGGCGGCAACUUCUAACACGGGAGAUUUCCCGCCACCCCACCCCGCCGCCGCGAGUCCUCGCGGGGCGUGUUGCGUGCGGAGGUCAGGCUGCCACCCUCUGUAGUUCCCUAACCCCAAACUCGGAGACUUCUAAGAGCCACACCACCAAGGAACUUCUAGUCCUGGAGGUCAAUGGUGGGGCAAACCUCGCCUCAAUUCUUUGACCCCCUCGGGUCGUAAGCAGGGCUAAGAGGCUG